GUAAAGUGCGAGCUGAUCAGCUACCACCGGACCAUCCUCCCAAAACCAACGCACGGCAGGUGUAUGGCAGCACCGAAUGCAGAAACAAGGAAGAAAUGGCAGCGAGGUGAUUGAUGCCCGGUGAGAAGAUAAAAGUGACCUAUACCCCCGUCAGCUGUAGGAAAGGAACCAAGAGACAGGUGAUUGAUGCCCUGUGAGAGGGUGAAAGGGACCUAUACCCCCGUCAGCUGCAGGAAAGGAACAAAGAGACAGGUAAUUAAUAUUUAUAUUAAUUACUGAUAACAAUCAGGCUAGAUACAACAUCUAAACCUGCAAAUAUGUCAUAGUCUCUACCUUAUACAUGAAGAUAUAUGUGUUUUUAAUAAGUAUAUCGUCUAUAGACAGCUUCUUAUAUAACACAACCUUGUCUCAGGUACAGAGAUUAGGAACAUUUUUGAUUUCUAAUAUCUGUUUUUUAUUUGUAGUAAUCCCUUUUUCAAUAGACUGACCGCAGAUUUAAGACAAAGCUAUACUGUAAAGAAAAAUCUAUAAGUUAAUGUAAUAAAUCACAUACUAUAACUGAUUAUUGCCAUUUAAAACUAUGAAAAAUACAUUAUGUUGAUUAUAAAACAGAAAUACAGAAUGGAGACAACCGUCUGUGGCUCAAGCUCGACUGCCCAUUUCUUUGAGUGGCCCCUCAAUGUUCUGGAAACGGGUGGAGGACAUUGUCUCCAUUAGAAUGGGUCCCCCUAAGAUGCUUCGGCUGUUGAUCUGAAGUGCAUUCUAUGCUUUGGAACCUCGGGGGCAAACUGUAUUUCUGUUAUUAAUUUUUAGUUUAGCAAUUCCCACCGCAACAUGGUUAACCUCUAUCCUAAAUUUCUGCACAAAAUUGAUAAAAGACAUUCCAAGAAAUAUUUUGCCAAAUAAAAAUAUAUAAAAUAUUGAUGAAGUUGAUGAAUAAUAAUAACAACAAAAAUAACAGUUUUUUAUUAAAAAACAAAUAAACAAUAAUAAUUUAUCAAAUAUUUUGCUCCUGCCCCCUUCCCCAAAAUAAAAAAACAUAUAUUACCCUUACAAUUUAUAAAUAAAGAAACAAAAAAUAAAACAUACCCCAAACAUUGCAAACACAAAACCCCCAAAAAUCUAACAAUAGUGUCUGUCAACAUCAUCCUGGGAGGGAUAAUCCACUGCACUACAAUAGAAAUAAAAAUCCCUAUCAUCUAUAUCUCAAUGGGUUCCAUCUUUUCUUUUGUUCUUUUUUCUAAUGCGGUUUUAUAAUCCCUGAGACAAGUAGUUCUGGCCCUAGAGUGUUAUAUAUAUUAGCGUCUGUAGCAUGUAUAAGGGACAUGUUAUCAUACCUGUGUCUUUUUAUAGGUGAUUAAUGCCCAGUGAGAGGGUGAA